CAUAGAUGAAGGAUCCCACUCAGGAUCAUAGCUUGUAAUUAGCAUAGCUAGAAUUCAGACUGAGGUCAGCCUUAUUCUAGAACCUGUAUCUUUACCAAAUUAUCAGCUUCAAGUUACCAAGGGGAGUUGUGUGUGUGUGUGUGUGUGUUUCUCUCUUGCGUGCUCUCUCUCUCUCAUAAAUUAGUAGAAAGGUGUGUUACCAUUGAGCCAUAUGUACAGUCCUUUUUUUGUUGUUUUGUUUUUUAGGUGUAGAUGGACACAACACAAUGCCUUUAUUUUAUGAAGUGCUGAGGAUCGAACCCGGGUCCCGCCUGUGCUAGGCAAGCCCUUACUGCUGAGCAACAAUCCCAACUGUACAGUCCUUUUUAUUUUUUAUUUUGAAACAAGGUCUUUUUCUUAAACAUGCUUUUAUAUAUAUAUUUAUUUUUUAAUUAUAGGUGGGUGCAAUAUCUUUAUUUUUAUGUGGUGCUGAGGAUUGAACCCAGUGCCUCACACAUGCUAGGCGAGCAUUCUACCUCUGAGCCACAACCCCAGCCCUUGAAACAGGGUCUUGAUAAGUUGCUGAGGGUCUUACUAAGUUGCCCAGACUGGCCUUGAUUGCAGUCCUCCUGCCUCAGCCUCCCCAUUUGCUGCAAUUACAGGUGUACGCCACCACACCAAGCUCAGGGGAUUUUUUCCCCCCAGUGCUGGAAAUUGUACCCAGGGCCUCAGACAUACUAGACAAGUGUACUACCACUGACCCACAUCUCCAGCCCCAAGGGGAUUUUUAAGUAAUUAUACACUGUCUCCUAGAGUCAGUACAUUACUACAAAGAUAUUUAUAAAGAUAAGGAACUAUACAGUCUUACUCAUCUUAAAACCUUUGUACUUUCAUAACUGAAAUACAUGAUAAAUUGUGACCCCUACCACCACCAGACAAC
rnacentral:lncRNA from 1 species